rnacentral:rRNA from 1 species
UGGCUCAGGACGAACGCUGGCGGCGUGCCUAAUACAUGCAAGUCGAACGGUCUUUCUAUGGAAGCUUGCUUCCACUGAGAAGAUAGUGGCGAACGGGUGAGUAACACGUGGGUAACCUGCCCAUAAGAGGGGGAUAACAUCCGGAAACGGGUGCUAAUACCGCAUAGUUUUCUUGAUCGCAUGAUUGGGAAAGGAAAGACGGCCUUUGUGCUGUCGCUUAUGGAUGGACCCGCGGCGUAUUAGUUAGUUGGUGAGGUAACGGCUCACCAAGACGAUGAUACGUAGCCGACCUGAGAGGGUGAUCGGCCACAUUGGGACUGAGACACGGCCCAAACUCCUACGGGAGGCAGCAGUAGGGAAUCUUCCGCAAUGGACGAAAGUCUGACGGAGCAACGCCGCGUGAGUGAAGAAGGUUUUUCCGGAUCGUAAAACUCUGUUGUCAGAGAAGAACAAGUUGGAGAGUAACUGCUCCAGCCUUGACGGUAUCUGACCAGAAAGCCACGGCUAACUACGUGCCAGCAGCAGC